AACUGAUACUACCUGCGGGAACCUGCGGAGGGAUCAUUACUGAAGUGAUUUGGGGAUGUUGCUGGCCCUCUCCCAAGGGGGGGCACUGUGCACUCCUCGAAACAAUUCACAAUUUCCAUCACACCCCUUGUGCACACCUUGUAGGCACCCAAACCCACCUCCGGGUGGUGGGGUCCUAUGUAUUCCUUCAUCUCACACUCUGUUGAAUGGUGCCAUGGGACGCAUCUAAAGGAUUAUUUG
rnacentral:misc_RNA from 1 species